UCUCUGAGUAUAUGUGUGUAAACCAAGUAUUGAGCACUCUCCUCAACACAGUACUAAUGAAUCUGAUUUGACCUUCACGUCAACUCAGCAAAGGAGGUAUUACCAUUCAUCAUUGUAGAAUGAGUUGAGAUUUGAAAAGGGUUAGACAACAUUCUCCAAAUCUCACAACAGGCUUUAGUCCUGUCUGAUUGAAAGAUGUAACAUCACUGGGGAGCUGAGCGAUCACCCCUCCUUCGUUGUUCUAGAGGGAAGGAGGAAGGGAGAAGCAGAGGAAGCAAAAGAGAAAAAUUACCUGGAGAAAAAGAUGAUUUAGGAAUCAAUGACACAACCAUUUAUGAAGUUCAAAGAAGAGAAAAAGGAAGCAUGGAACAAAGAACACAAAGGAGAGAGAAAAGACACAAAUCAGUGGAAGAGGAAAUGAGAAAGAUCAACUUGGUGAUACUGGGUCCCAGAUAUAUUUAUUAUCUGUCUACCUACCUAUCCAUCUGUCUGUCUAUUAUAUAUUUUCUACAUGUGUCCCUGAAAAUGGGGGAAACAAGAAGACUUUUUAUGGCAUUGCCCCUCUUGUCUAUUCUCUGGUCUCUGUUUGUGUCACCUGGAGUGCCCCAUAUGUAAUUUCUAGCCGUACUCUAAUAAAUCUAUGUGACAAUUGUCCCCCACCCCUUAG